rnacentral:rRNA from 1 species
CAAAGUGGGGGACCUUCGGGCCUCAUGCCAUCAGAUGUGCCCAGAUGGGAUUAGCUAGUAGGUGGGGUAACGGCUCACCUAGGCGACGAUCCCUAGCUGGUCUGAGAGGAUGACCAGCCACACUGGAACUGAGACACGGUCCAGACUCCUACGGGAGGCAGCAGUGGGGAAUAUUGCACAAUGGGCGCAAGCCUGAUGCAGCCAUGCCGCGUGUGUGAAGAAGGCCUUCGGGUUGUAAAGCACUUUCAGCGGGGAGGAAGGCGGUGAGGUUAAUAACCUCAUCGAU